AGUGAACGCUGGCGGUAGGCCCUACACAUGCAAGUCGAACGGCAGCACAGUAAGAGCUUGCUCUUACGGGUGGCGAGUGGCGGACGGGUGAGGAAUACAUCGGAAUCUACUUUUUCGUGGGGGAUAACGUAGGGAAACUUACGCUAAUACCGCAUACGACCUACGGGUGAAAGCAGGGGAUCUUCGGACCUUGCGCGAUUGAAUGAGCCGAUGUCGGAUUAGCUAGUUGGCGGGGUAAAGGCCCACCAAGGCGACGAUCCGUAGCUGGUCUGAGAGGAUGAUCAGCCACACUGGAACUGAGACACGGUCCAGACUCCUACGGGAGGCAGCAGUGGGGAAUAUUGGACAAUGGGCGCAAGCCUGAUCCAGCCAUACCGCGUGGGUGAAGAAGGCCUUCGGGUUGUAAAGCCCUUUUGUUGGGAAAGAAAAGCAGCAGGUUAAUACCCCGCUGUUCUGACGGUACCCAAAGAAUAAGCACCGGCUAACUUCGUG
rnacentral:rRNA from 1 species